AGUGCUGCUCUGUUGAACUCAAAAGCUGAACCCUGUUGUUGACUUCAACAGGAGCAAGACUGA
rnacentral:pre_miRNA from 1 species